rnacentral:rRNA from 1 species
AGAGUUUGANCCUNGCUCAGAAUCAACGCUGGCGGCGUGCCUAACACAUGCNAGUCGCACGAGAAAGGGUAGCAAUACCUGAGUACAGUGGCGCACGGGUGAGUAACACGUGAAUCAUCUACCUUCGAGUGGGGAAUAACUGGGAGAAAUCUCAGCUAAUACCGCAUAAUACCUACGGGUCAAAGCAGCAAUGCGCUUGAAGAGGAGUUCGCGGCAGAUUAGUUAGUUGGCGGGGUAAUGGCCCACCAAGACGAUGAUCUGUAUCCGGCCUGAGAGGGCGCACGGACACACUGGAACUGAAACACGGUCCAGACUCCUACGGGAGGCAGCAGUGGGGAAUUUUGCGCAAUGGGGGAAACCCUGACGCAGCAACGCCGCGUGGAGGAUGAAAUCCCUUGGGAUGUAAACUCCUUUCGAUUGGGAAGAUUAUGACGGUACCAAUAGAAGAAGCCCCGGCUAACUUCGUGCCAGCAGCCGCGGUAAUACGAGGGGGGCAAGCGUUGUUCGGAAUUAUUGGGCGUAAAGGGCGCGUAGGCGGUUUGACAAGUCUUAUGUGAAAUCUCUGGGCUCAACCCAGAGUCUGCAUGGGAAACUGUCGGGCUUGAGUAUGGGAGAGGUGAGUGGAAUUUCCGGUGUAGCGGUGAAAUGCGUAGAUAUCGGAAGGAACACCUGUGGCGAAAGCGGCUCACUGGACCAUAACUGACGCUGAGGCGCGAAAGCUAGGGGAGCAAACAGGAUUAGAUACCCUGG